GCCAUCUGGCCUUGCCCUGUCACAGCAGCUAAUCAUCCAGAUGCAGACAAGUUAGAGUCUUAAAUUUCAAAAAGGGCCGGUGACUUUUGAGGACGUGGCUGUGUAUUUCAGGGAGGAAUGGGCUCUGCUGGACCCUCAGAGAGCCGUGUACAGGGAUGUCAUGCAGGAGAUCUGCAAGACGGUGGUCUUGCUGGUAGGGUUUCCAGUUUCCAAACCUGAUGUGAUCUUGCAGCUGGAACGAGAGGAAGAGCCGUGGGUCCAGAGCUCUGAGA